UACGUAGGGUGCAAGCGUUGUCCGGAAUUAUUGGGCGUAAAGAGCUCGUAGGCGGUCUGUCGCGUCUGCUGUGAAAACUCAGGGCUUAACCCUGAGCUUGCAGUGGGUACGGGCAGACUAGAGUGCGGUAGGGGAGACUGGAAUUCCUGGUGUAGCGGUGAAAUGCGCAGAUAUCAGGAGGAACACCGGUGGCGAAGGCGGGUCUCUGGGCCGUAACUGACGCUGAGGUGCGAAAGCGUGGGGAGCAAACAGG
rnacentral:rRNA from 1 species